rnacentral:lncRNA from 1 species
GCAUGAGUGUGGAUGGGUGCUGCGUUAUCACGCCCUUGGAAAGAGCUGCAUUUAUGUAUUUGAAAGAUCUGGCAAAAUUUCAUGAUACUUGUUAAGUAUGAAUGUUUAAAGGCUGGCCAGACUUGUGACUGCCUUGGAGGAAGUUUUGUAAUCACGAGAAGCGGCUACCAAUGCACUUGCAAACUCACAUGCACCAUCUAGUGUUCUUAAUGCAUUUUGCUCUGCAGAAAAAAUGCCCAGAUUUGAGGUUUUUGAGCAUUGUCUGAUAUUUUUGCACAGUUUCAAAGAUUGACCACCUCACAUGCUCUUUUCCAUAUUUGCAUGAACAAAAUUGAAAUCUUGGCACAGUAAACACACUCAUUAUACUGUAUAUGUUUGUUUUUUUUUUUGCUUACCAGCUUAAUCCAAGCUGGUCUUUUCAACAGGAGGCUCAUAUGACAUUAUGUUACAAACACCCAGUACAUUUAAUGUUUUUAUUGUAUUGCAGGUUAUUCAGGAAGGCUAUGCGGGUCAGUCAGGCCUCAAAGGAGAGAAGGGAGACAGGGGUUUGGACUGUACUGGUGCUGGAGUUCCUGGACGAUGCUUAGAAGGUGCUAAAGGGAAGAAAGGAGAGAAGGGAGAGUCGGGUCUAGCUGGCAACUGGGGAGAAGCUAUAGGAGUGAAGGGUGACAAAGGGCAAAAAGGAGAAAUCGGAGCCCCAGGUCUGCCCGGAAGUCCAGGCAAAGACGUAAGUGACUAGCAUUUGAUGUGAAAGUCAAAGAUGUUCAUAUUUAUGUCCUACUUUAUGUACAUUAUGUAUACCAGCUCCCCUCCUGAGUCUCCUUCAGACGUGUUGAUAUAUUUCAGUGUGUCUCACUGCAGGAAUGUACUCAAAAGACAAUUGUAUAGCAUGCACAAUAUGUCUCUGUGCACAUAUUUUAAUUUUAAAAGGAAGCAAGAGUCCCUUUCCUUUCAUAUUGUUUAAAGUUGUUCCAUAUAUCCACAGUGCUCUGCUGCGAAAAGCAUGAUGCAUUAGACUCUUAACCAUAUACUCACUGCUGCUUUUUCUUCUCAUUAGAUAUCUCUUUGGGUGUUAAAUCUUUUAAAUGCUGCAUAGAUUACAUAAGCCAACAAAGAGCCACACAUCAAUGCAGCCUCAUUGAUUCUUUUAAAUGGAUAGUCAGGUUGCAUUAUGCUUAAUCUUUUCUAUUCUGUAUACAAAGAAUAUCGAGGAGCUCAACUGUUUUCAACAAAAGUAAUAAAAAAAUGUAAUAAUAAGAAAUCAGCAUAUUAGAAUGAUUUCUGAAGGAUCAUGUGACACUGAAGACUGGAGUAAUGGCUGUUGAAAAUUUAUCAUCACAGGAAUAAAUUACAUUUUACAUAAAUUUACAUUUUACAUAUAUUUACUAAAAUAGAAAACAGUUCUUUUAAAUUCUUAUAAUGGUUCACAAUAUUACUGUUUUCUGAUCAACUAAUUGGAGUUUUGGUGACCAUAAGAGACUUAUUUCAAAAACAUUUUAAAAAUUUCACCGACCCCAACCGUUUGAAUAGUAGUGUGCAUAUUAUAUAAUUUAAUAAUUAACAUAUAAUUUUAUGUCAUGUAUCAGUAUAUUAGUUUUCUAUUUUGUCUCUUUUUACCUCACAGGGGCCCCCUGGUGGACCUCCAAGCUCUAAAGGAGAAAAAGUAUGUUUACUAAUACAUGUUUUCCUGCUUUGACCACAAAGUGAUGAGGAUGAGGAUGAGGAUGUUAAAUAUAUUUUUAAUAAAAAUGUACCAUUAGCUUUCUUGUGUCCCUUGCAAUGUUAUAUCAAAUAAUACCAAAACAUUAUCUCCAUCUCUAGGGGGAUUCUGGGAUACCUGGUGUAGAUGGAAAGCCUGGAGAACCUGCAAGUGCAUUUUUUCUCAUUUUGUCCUAUAGAGGGAUGUCAAUGUGAAACGAUGGCGUGUGCUGAAUUGCUAAGACAGAAGAUGCUAAUUAUCCUGAUUUUCUAUCACUAUCCUGAUUGUUCUGUUACUGUAAGGGACAAAAUAUGUUUACCAUCAUCAGCACCAUAAUUAGUUUUAUUACCACUGGAGCGAUCAGCACAUAAUUUGCAUUUGUAACUCAAUGAGCUUCUGUGGUUCUAAUCUUCAUGCAUACCCAAUGACGUGGUUUGUUUUGCUGACAGGGUCCGAGAGGUCCUUGGGGACCUAAAGGUGAAAAGGUAAGUCUAAGCAGUCUCCAUAAUAUGAAAGUCAUACCUGUGUUAUUUUAAAUAAUCAAUUUUGCCUUUUGCCAAUAUUAACAAAUUGCCUUAUGUCGUUGGAAUCCUUGGCUCACGAUGGACAAAACCCAUAACAUUCAUCACCUUGGUGAAAUUUUCGGAUAUUUUGGAUUUUUUGAAAAACCUACUUUUGAAACCAAACUAGUGCAGAAGUAUUCCAUGGAUAGUAAAUAUCUAUAAUUCUCAAAAAAUGUUGAACUAUCAAUUCACAGUCGUAAAGGGACGCCAAAACAUUCGAAAGGGGCAGGGCCUCUUUUACUGAAACGGAUAUAGGUUUUAACCCUUUGGCUAGCUAUAAUAUACCCAACAGCCUAAAAAGCCUAAAUGAAAAUGUAAAGCUUCACAAAACUAGGUGAGCAUAUGCAACAGGUGAUUCUAAACAAGCAUGCACAGUUUUAUGGAGAUCGGACCACAGGUGGUGCUAUAACAGUUAAAAAGGCUUCAAAACAUCUCAAGUUACACAUGUAACCAUGGUUCCCUGAGAAGGGAAUGAGACGAUGGACACCAUAGCAUAAUGGGAACCCCAUAGUGACCACUAGAGGACACAAUUCAAGUUCCCUCAGAAGGGAACACUCUAUUUCUGCGGUAAAUUACCUCAAAUUGUGGAAAAUGUUCAUAUAUUCAUGCAUACAUUAGAUUUUCACAUCAUACAAUCGAUCUCCUCAUUCUGAACAACUUUGCUUCUAGGACCACUGCUGUCAAUUGUCACUUUGUGGGUCAAUAAUGAUCAAAAAAUUAAAAAUAUUAAAAUAUAAAAAAAAAUCUACUAUACACUUUGGUUAGUUAUAACAGGGGAAUUUUUAAAAGGAGCAUGGCUAAAUAUACCUUAAGGAUUAAAUGCCUUAAAGUGCUUGAACCCCGAUAAUCCCUGCUUGCAGCUAUAUUAUUUAUAUUUUAUUUCAACUUUAUUUCAAUUAAUACAAAAAAAUUUAAUAGUUUUACUUUCAGUUUUAACCAUAAUAACCCUGAGUCAUACAGGUUUAUAACAAUACGAAGGAGAGCAAAUGAUUAGAGAAUUUUCAUUUUUAGAGUAACAUUCCAUUGAAUAUGCUUUUUGCUGUCUUCAGGGAGAUUCAUGUGAACCAUGUCCGGUGGUCUCUUUCAACUCUACUGGCAACACUGUGGCCUUUCAGAGCAAGCAGGGACCUAAAGGAGAACCAGGAGCCCCAGGCAAAGGAGAACAGGGUCCACCUGUGAGUUCACUCUCGAAACCACUGCUGGUGUUUAUCACACAAAAAAAAAAAAAAAAAAAACUAGAACUAAGUUAGCAUUGUUUGAUUAUAUGUCUAUUGUCUAGCCACCCUAGAAACUGUCUUUUAUCCUUCCAGUAACUAACUCUACUGGCAACACUGUGGCCUUUCAGAGCAAGCAGGGACCUAAAGGAGAACCAGGAGCCCAGGCAAGGAGAACAGGGUCCACCUGUGAGUUCACUCUCGAAACCACUAGCUGGUGUUUAUCACACAAAAAAAAAAAAAAAAAAAAAACUAGAACAAGUUUAGCAUGUUUGAUUAUAUGUCAUUGUCUAGCACCCUGAAACUGCUUUUAUCUUCCAGUACAAAAUUUGGUGCCUGGUAGACACUUAAUCAUUGCAAAAUCCAGCUGACAGUGAUGUUCACCUUAGUGGGUCUGCCAUAUUUGUGUUUGCCAAGCUCAAUGAAAUAAGCCAACAAUCAGCAAGGUCUUUUUCUCCUGCUGUUGUUGUGUUGAAUGAGAAAUGCUUCAUUAUACCUUAAGAAACAUUCAGGUCUCUCCUAUCAUCCAUGAAAUCCAUAAACUUUCCCCCCUCAAAGUUUAGACCACUUACUGUAUCAGAUUUCAUUUUACUCCAUGACUACAGUAAAGGCCUCUCUAUUUUUUAGCCUAUUAAAAUUUCUUCAGAAAAAAUUACUGAAAAAAAAAAAAAAGGAAUUCUAUGCAGCAUACCAUAAAGCACCUGUUUGCAUUUCUCUAUAAUGAUUUCCACUACCAUCACAAUCUAUUCCUCAUACCUAUUUAUGGGACAGAGAGUGAGAGCGUGGGAUGCAGAAAAAGUGAUUGGGUGCAAAUGCGGGACAUUUACAGUUGCGGUCAGCUAGGAUGACAUUAAUGUCAUGAUUUGGGAGACUGAUGUUGAUACUU